ACGUAUUAUCAAGUAAUAAUCAGUAUCGGCGCGUUGCGUAAUACCGUGGAAAAUUCACGUUGGGAGCAGAGAUUAAUACGCUGCUGACGUUUGCAUAAAUCCUUGCAGCUACUUUAAACGUGUCGUGAUACCGCUACGGGAAUAUCUUUCGGUCCGAAUAUUCGCAAAUUUUCCAAACUUGUGCCUCAAAAUUCGAGAACGAUGAAGUAUAGUUCCCUAGUCUACGUCACGUUUCUCGGUAUGUUUAAAAUAGGAAAAUUCCAAGAGCUUCACCUUAUGAUCACUAAAUAUAUCUCAAACAACAGAUGCGAACGUUGCAUGAAGUUUAGCGACGCGACAAAGUUCAUCGUAAAAUAAACUCCACGUGAAUUCGAUCGUAUUACACAAUCAAACCGCUCGAAGACGAACUCGUAUGUCUAAACUUUAGCGAUUGAAACAUGGACGAGACGGACUUCCUUGAAGGCUGGAAAACGCGAAACUGCGACAGUUCUGUCAGGACGAGCAAGAAGUAACGUUAUUCGGUCCCGUUCUCGUUCCCGCGGAGCGUCACACGCUCGAAACUGGCGACCGUCUCGCCCGCGACUCGACUGUGCUCGCUCGCUCGCUCGCUCACGCAGGUUCGCGUUCGCGCCGCGCCAGUCAUCGCUAUUAUAAUAUUAGACCAGUAGCCGGCUAUUUCCAACCGACUGUGAAAAUAUACCAACGGCACGCGUGCUGCACGAAGAAGAGACGGCCACGGUGAAACAAACGUUUCGUGGUCAGUCACACGGCUCGCCAGCGAGCUAUCGAGAUUUAUGGUUCCGUCGAUCGAUCGUGAAAACUCGUGCGAGCAUUCGACGAGAUACCGCGUGUCUGUUGAUUUCCGUUUUCAAUUUUUACGUAAUUUUGUACUCCUGGUGUAUGUUCUUUACGCGUCCGGCUUAUUGGUUCCGGGUUUCUUUUCCAGAACAGACUGAUUAUUUUAAGAAUAAUGGAAAAUACAUAAAAAUUACCUAGGAAAGUAGUUUCACGACAAUUUAAUUUGUUUAGUGAGUAUCAGCUAUGAGAAUUAGGUAUGAUUCGAAUUAUAAAUAGAAAUAAGAGGAUAAUAGUGGAACAGAAAUUAUUCAAUUCGCGCGGUAUUUGGUUUGUAUCCAUUAUAAAUAAGAAAUUAAGAUGUUUAUAGUAAACCAUAGUAACCAGAGUAGGGAUGUUUAUGCAAAUUCACAUUUCUAUGGAUGAAACUCAUAUAAAGAUUAGUUUCAGUCUCUAAGUAUCAUAAGCAGUAUUUUGGAUAUCCCUGCACAUUAUAUGUAUUCUGUACAUCUGUGUAUAUCUAUGUUUUUAUACGUUUAAAUUUCCCAUAAACGCAUAAUAGAUAUAUGCAUAUCGCUACACACGAGGCACAAAUGACAUUCGAAGUCUGAUAAGCAAAAGAAUCGGAUCUAAUGCACGAACCCGACUCGUGGAUGCGCAUUUUAGCUUUAACAUCGCGAGCCUAGCUCGCACAAAAAGAAAAACUCACGAUAACAUCAGAAAGAACCUUUAUGAAAUUUGGAAUACAUACAUUUCUUAAAGAUUAUGAUCUAAAAGCAUUUUGUAGAAUUUGUCUAUUAUACAAUUGCACACGAUUACUUUGUAUCCUAUCAAUCUCCAGUGCGCAAGCAAAUAUUCUAUUACCAGAAUACGAUACUCCGAAAUGAAUACACUCUGAAUUCCUAUAACAAUAAGCAACUCGUUAUGCAUAAUAUAGAUCAUGUACUUCAAAUAUACAACGAGAGAUCAAAAUAAUGACAUUAAAGGUUCAAUAAAUAAGUUUCACAGAUUGAUGGAUUACCAAUUGGUGGUUCAAUGGCUCGAUUCUGCCAAGCAACGGAUUAAUUGAGGCACGCCGGUAAUUCCGUUAGUAGAAUUUGCGGAAGUUCGUCAGGGAGGGUAUCCACGUGCGUUACGUGGAUACGACGUUCAAAACCGACACGGUGGUCCCGGAAUCUUGGCUCGAGAAACUCCAACGGUCCGAGUCCGUGCCGUUCGUAUUUCGAAUUAACAUCGCGACUCCGAACCCACGGCUAUAUUCGUUGGCCUUUGUUGGAACGCACGACUCGGUGGAACAUGGGUAAAGAUAGCCACAUUUCGUGGCAAAUACUCGUGGUUUCGGGUCACGAUGACCUUGAAAGUAAUUAUCGACCAUUGCACGAAUCGGUACAAACGAAUGUCUCCUCGAGUCUGCAUUUACUGAAAUUUUCUCAACGUAUUAAUUUCGUAUUUUUAUUUGAUUAGUGGAAUUUACGCAACUGAUAUUUUAUUUACUUACGCUGGGCGUAGCUGCCGUUAAAAAAUUGUUAUCCUUCGCUGAACAGUCGAGAAGUUUAAAAAGAGUUGAAUCGUAACUUUUAAAUGUUGUGCGAGUUAAAAAGGAUUCGAAGCAAACUCCGAAUGCGAUUUUAAGGAAACUACGCAGAAUUCCUGUCAGAGAUCACAUCGUUUACUGGUCUCUGAAAAGUUUAUAGACAGCGUGAUUUCUACGACGUGGUUCAACGCAGUCAACGUGCUUUAACGACGAUUGAAAUUACCGAGUGUAUCCGACGGGAAUAUCUCUGGAUCUCGCUCUCGACGUCAUAAAUAGCAGAUUCAUCUAAAAAGGAGUUGCAAGCUGGCAAACGCGUUAUUAAGGACGAGUUGACGCUUUAAAACCAUCGAGCUAUUCAGCCGCCACGCUGCAUGCAAACUCUGGAAUUAUGUAGCAUCCCAACAUAUUCGAGUAAUAGAUAAAUUUAUGCGUUUUAAAAACACAGUAAGAAUGAUUGAGAGAAUUUAUUAAACUAUUUGUAUCCGCGAUUGUAUGAUUAACUGGCUUAGGAGAAUGAAUCGAUCAGCACACAGCCGAACGGUCCGAUCAUCAAUGAAUUUUUUACUAACGCUUUGUAUAUUAAGAAACUAUCUAUUUAGGUAACUAUUCGCAUCUAUGCGUAGUUUACUUUCUGGCAGACCAGGAAACAAAUUCAACUAACACUAAUUAGAAAAAAAGUGAAAAGAAUAAGACAAAUCUAAAAAGUAUUCUGAAAGUGAUACUGCGUGUGCCGGACUAUUUCGUGGUGUUAUAUAUUUUAGAAAAAUGUCAAACCUCUCUUCAAGGUUCCUUUCAUCAAUACUGCACGCCAUAACCGUGAUUCCAACUCCAUUAUAGGAGAUAAUAUAAACA